GCAUGGUGGCGCAGUGGUUAGCGCAGCUGCCUUUUAAUUAGGGGGCUCCGGGUUCAAGUUCUGGUAGGCG